GGUUUAAAGCAAUGGCUGCCUUCGUGGACAAUUCCUUGCUUGAUGUACGCGGAAGAAAUUCGAUGGCUACUACGCUCAAUAUACAUACAAAGUCACACACCGUUCGCGGUAGACCCACACUAAGACUUGUGGAGCGUUUUGGGAAUGGUUCGGUCCGCGAACUUUACGAGAGAUCAAUUUACGAGUGAUCCUUUACGAGUGAACCUUCUAUCGGGAAAUAUCAAGCGAAACCUGCUAUAUCAAACGAGCUAUCUCAUAUCAUGUUUACAUAUAAACACAAUCGUGUAUUUAGACGUGAUCGAGAACCCAGUAGAAUACCAGAAGCUACUCUGAAACGUCUCAGAAGAAAGGGCAGAAAACCGAGGGAAUUCGUUUAUGAGUGUUUUCGUCCAAGCAUACCGAAGUCCUCUUGGCUACGUCGUUAUGUGAAGUUGUUUGUCAAGUGGGUUGUAUGGUCCUGUGUGUUUAUGUCCAGAAAGUGUGAAACCUGAUUUUGGUUUUGAUAAUUUACCAAUUGCUUUGUGGAUAUCAAGACUGCCACCUUUAUAUAAUGGAUCUUUUGGAUCAUUUACACCUUGAGGUGAAUACAUACUCAUUGGACACCAUUUUGAAUAAUCAAUCUGACCACUUUGAUGAAGAGGAUCUAAUUUUUUUGAUACGUAUUUAUCAGCAAUUUCUCUUAUCUUCUUUUUUGCAAAAUCAGAUCUGAUAGCCUUUGAAGCACCAAGUCUACCAAGAUCAUAUCAACCUUUUACACCAGUUUUCAAUGCCAUUUCAAUGUUUCCUACGAAACAUAAACACGGCAGAUUUAAGACGAAGAUCUAUUCAGAGAUGCCUUGUCUGAAUCGGUGGAUCAAGCAGGAAUUCAAAGUUACCAUGUUUGUGGUCAAUAGUAAAAAGAUACGGGGACUUCCUAAUAAAAAGGGCACCUGAUCAAGCUUAUUUCAAUGAUUUAGUUAUGACGGUGUUCUCUGAAUGCCAGUGGAAUUAAUAGUUUGAACGCGACGGAGUAAGGACUCUCAUUUAAGAAUCUUUUUUCUGGUUCACCAUUCUAAGUUUGUCUACGUUUAAGUAGUACGUGGUAUGGUAUGGCGCCUUUAUCUCAGUGCCCAACAUAUUAAGAUAAAAUAACCAAAAUAAUGUACUUUUCUGCAGUGAAAACUUCCUAGUUGAUGCUGAAUAUGACUAACAACUUGUCAAUUUUAUAUUUCUAGGAACCUUUAUUGUUACACUAUUGCUUAACAGGUUUAUUUCAAUAAAGGACCUAAUCGUCUCUCGACGGA